AUGGUACUCCCUUCGUCCGGAAAUACUUGUCAUAGGAAUGGACGUAUCUAAAUGUAUUUUAGUUUUAGAUAUAUUCAUUUGUGUCAUUUUUGUGAUAAGUAAUUCCGAACGGAUGAAGUAUAUA
rnacentral:pre_miRNA from 1 species